UGUGCAAAGGUAGCAUAAUCAUUAGUUUUUUAAUUGAAAGCUGGAAUGAAGGGCUGGAUGAGAAAGUAACUGUCUCACUUUUAUUUUCAUUGAAUUUUAUUUUUAAGUCAAAAGGCUUAAAUUUAAUAGAAAGACGAGAAGACCCUAUAGAGUUUAAUAAAGGCGGAUUUUAAUUGUGUGAGGAUUCGUAUUGUAAUUAUUGCUUGAUUUAUUUGGUUGGGGUGACACAAGAAUUUGAAAAACUUCUUUUUAUUAACACAUUGAUUUAUGAAUAGUUGAUCCUGGACUUUGGAUUAGAAGAACAAAUUACCUUAGGGAUAACAGCGUAAUCCUUUUAGAGAGCCCAAAUCGAUAAAAGGGAUUGCGACCUCGAUGUUGGAUUAAAGUUAAAUUUGGGCGCAGAAGCUUGAAUUUUG
rnacentral:rRNA from 1 species